CGGGGUGUGGCGCAGUUGGCUAGCGUGCCUGCUUUGGGAGCAGGAGGUCGUGAGUUCGAGUCUCACCACCCCGA
rnacentral:tRNA from 1 species